rnacentral:rRNA from 1 species
GACGAACGCUGGCGGCGUGCCUAAUACAUGCAAGUCGAACGCAUUUUCUUUCACCGUAGCUUGCUACACCGAAAGAAAAUGAGUGGCGAACGGGUGAGUAACACGUGGGUAACCUGCCCAUCAGCGGGGGAUAACACUUGGAAACAGGUGCUAAUACCGCAUAAUUCCAUUUACCGCAUGGUAGAUGGGUGAAAGGCGCUUUUGCGUCACUGAUGGAUGGACCCGCGGUGCAUUAGCUAGUUGGUGGGGUAACGGCCUACCAAGACUGCGAUGCAUAGCCGACCUGAGAGGGUGAUCGGCCACACUGGGACUGAGACACGGCCCAGACUCCUACAGGAGGCAGCAGUAGGGAAUCUUCGGCAAUGGACGCAAGUCUGACCGAGCAACGCCGCGUGAGUGAAGAGGGUUUUCGGAUCGUAAAACUCUGUUGUUAGAGAAGAACAAGGAUGAGAGUGGAAAGUUCAUCCCUUGACGGUAUCUAACCAGAAAGCCACGG